AACGAACGCUGGCGGCAUGCCUAACACAUGCAAGUCGAACGAGACCUUCGGGUCUAGUGGCGCACGGGUGCGUAACGCGUGGGAAUCUGCCCCUUGGUUCGGAAUAACAGCGAGAAAUUGCUGCUAAUACCGGAUAAUGACGUAAGUCCAAAGAUUUAUCGCCAAGGGAUGAGCCCGCGUAGGAUUAGCUAGUUGGUGUGGUAAAGGCGCACCAAGGCGACGAUCCUUAGCUGGUCUGAGAGGAUGAUCAGCCACACUGGGACUGAGACACGGCCCAGACUCCUACGGGAGGCAGCAGUGGGGAAUAUUGGACAAUGGGCGAAAGCCUGAUCCAGCAAUGCCGCGUGAGUGAUGAAGGCCUUAGGGUUGUAAAGCUCUUUACCCGGGUAAGAUAAUGACUGUACCGGGAGAAU
rnacentral:rRNA from 1 species